GGAUCGGUGGCCGAGUGGUUUAAGGCGCACGCCUGGAAAGCGUGUGGGCGGGAAACCGUCUCGAGAGUUCGAAUCUCUCCCGAUCCG
rnacentral:tRNA from 1 species